rnacentral:lncRNA from 1 species
CUGAAUAUACUCCAUUGUAUGGAUGUACCACAGUUGUUGAUGAACAUCUUGGUUGCCUCCAGUUUUUGGCAGUUAUGAAUAAAGCUGCUAUAAACAUUCGUGUGCGGGUUUUGUGUGGACAUCAUGCUUGAUGAUAUGCCUAGGCUAGAUUAUGUUGCAGUGACAUUCCAAAAGUCUUGGAUCAAAACCUCCAUGUUGUGCUUCAUGUCCAUCAAAGGUAUUCUCAGCAAUCCAAUCUGGUGGCGGCUGGACCAUCGGGAACAUCACUGCUGGCUUGCUAGGGCCAGGAAAACAGAAACCUGGACACUGGAACACGCUUCCUGUCUUUCGUUACCUCGUGACCUUUCCUAUCAGCAGCCCGUGACUACGAAUUCUUUAUCCCUAUGA